GACCGGAUGUAAAUGAUUUUAUUUAAAUGUUUAUUGAUAUUACAAAAUGGCAUUGUGUGAAUAAAAUAUGAAGAUUUUGAACGUAUUCUGGUAUGUCAAUGUCAUUAUUGUUAUUGUCAAAAAAGAACCUAACCUAUGCGUGCACAAUAACAUAUAACGAUUAACGAUUUAGUGGUAAAUAAUAAACAAAAUGUUAAGCAAUAGGGUAGUGCACCUAUUUGCAAGAUCUUUUGAACAUUCUCACAAUAGAAGCUUCAAAAACUUUGGCCAUAAGAGACAGCCUAUACCAGGAAUAACAACGCUUUGGCAUGGAUUCUUAACUUUUACAUUCAUCGGACUUGGAAUCGAAUGGAAAAGAAUAGCAAAAUUUAUGCUGGGUGAUGAUGAGGUGCAAAUAUCGUGGGAUCCGACAGACCCUGUCAAAAAGCAACAAUAGGUAAACUUUAUAAUUAUCUUAUAAUUUGUACAAAUCCAUACAUUUAAAUGUAGUGUUGAACUGUGAUACAUUGUUGUAUAGUUAAUAAUGUAUUUAGAAAUAAAACAUGUUCUUGGAAGGAACAUAAAUUACUUUUGUCUUAGUACUUAGCUUUUAGUCCAUUCCUGGAUAUCUUGACCUAUUUAUAAUAAGGAGUAUGUAUCUUAGUAUCUGUUAUAAUUAUAAAUCAUCAUUUAAAA